GAUGAACGCUGGCGGCGUGCCUAAUACAUGCAAGUCGAGCGAACAGACGAGGAGCUUGCUCCUCUGACGUUAGCGGCGGACGGGUGAGUAACACGUGGAUAACCUACCUAUAAGACUGGGAUAACUUCGGGAAACCGGAGCUAUUACCGGAUAAUAUAUUGAACCGCAUGGUUCAAUAGUGAAAGACGGUUUUGCUGUCACUUAUAGAUGGAUCCGCGCCGCAUUAGCUAGUUGGUAAGGUAACGGCUUACCAAGGCAACGAUGCGUAGCCGACCUGAGAGGGUGAUCGGCCACACUGGAACUGGGACACGGUCCAGACUCCUACGGGAGGCAGCAGUAGGGAAUCUUCCGCAAUGGGCGAAAGCCUGACGGAGCAACGCCGCGUGAGUGAUGAAGGUCUUCGGAUCGUAAAACUCUGUUAUUAGGGAAGAACAAAUGUGUAAGUAACUAUGCACGUCUUGACGGUACCUAAUCAGAAAGCCACGGCUAACUACGUG
rnacentral:rRNA from 1 species